AGUGAACGCUGGCGGUAGGCCUAACACAUGCAAGUCGAACGGCAGCACAGUAAGAGCUUGCUCUUACGGGUGGCGAGUGGCGGACGGGUGAGGAAUACAUCGGAAUCUACUUUUUCGUGGGGGUUAACGUAGGGAAACUUACGCUAAUACCGCAUACGACCUACGGGUGAAAGCAGGGGAUCUUCGGACCUUGCGCGAUUGAAUGAGCCGAUGUCGGAUUAGCUAGUUGGCGGGGUAAAGGCCCACCAAGGCGACGAUCCGUAGCUGGUCUGAGAGGAUGAUCGGCCGCACUGGAACUGAGACACGGUCCAGACUCCUACGGGAGGCAGCAGUGGGGAAUAGUGGACAAUGGGCGCAAGCCUGAUCCAGCCAUACCGCGUGGGUGAAGAAGGCCUUCGGGUUGUAAAGCCCUUUUGUUGGGAAAGAAAAGCAGCAGGUUAAUACCCCGCUGUUCUGACGGUACCCAAAGAAUAAGCACCGGCUAACUUCGUG
rnacentral:rRNA from 1 species